rnacentral:tRNA from 2 species
AUAUUUUAAAGUAAUUAUACUUUCUUAAUAUCUUCAAUAUUAUGCUUUAAAAAUAAGCUAUUAAAAUA